rnacentral:lncRNA from 1 species
AUGCCUCAGUCUAUGGGGAAGUAAAGAGGUUUGUCAUGAGACAUAAUGCAGUUGUGAGAAGAGCCAUCACAAGCAGUUUCCUGACAGAAAGACGGAGAUUUCAUCACCCGAAGCUGCUUUUGCAGCUACUGCCAAAGCACGUUAGCAUCGCCGUCAGAGCACAGAAUGCCUGUCAAAACCGCAGUAAAGCGAAGGGAAUUGCUGCCAACGCGCUCCCUACGGACAACAGAUGAUCUCCAUCCGCCAUUUGUUUUCCUUCUGCUCAUGUUGAUCUCAUCUGUAGAACACACUGAGCCUGUAUAUCACGACCGAAGAGGAAAUGCUUCUCAGAGUUUAUUUAAGCUGUUAGAAUCUUGCUGCCGAGAAAGCAGUUUCUGAAAGGAGCCUCUGGGUUCCCAGAUGAUGCUUCCCAAGGAUCUAGGAGAUUGUCAGAUCAUCUUUGAGGUCACUCUGACUAGUCCCACUAGGAACAAGCUGCUGUUUAAAAAUAGCGACUGCAGGGGGAUGUUCCCAAGACGAAAUCAGACCUGCCAAUCAACUCCAGCCUUGGGCCUCCACAUCCACUUCCAAGAGGUCAGCUGUCACAGACUGUUUACAAAGAUGAGUCUGCAAAUGGCUCCCUUGUUCUUUAGCCUAUUUUUUUAAUCAUCUCCUCCUUCUUCUUACAAGCUUCUUUAUCUUAUUUAUUUCAUUUUUGUUUCUCUUCUUCCUUCUGUUGGUAUCUUUCAGCCCUUCAUUCUCUUUCUCAUUCGAAAUUGUUGAGAAAUAAAGAUACUCAGGGAAUGAUCAGAUAAAGAGGAACCUUCCAUGAAGCCCAUUGUGAGGUGAAAAUUUUAAAAUAUUAAUCUAUCUGAUUUGACCAAGAAAAAGAUGAUCUGAAGAGCAACGUUUCAUUUUUAUAUAUUCAGAAUGUAGAAUUUUAAUUUUGUAAACUUUCAGUUAACGUGCAAAAAGCUAAGAUUGAAUCAUUACGAUGAUCAAUAAUUUUGUUCAGGGAAACCACAAAUUAAAAUUAAACCGAAAUUCAGGAUCUCUGCUAAAAUCUUGGCCU